rnacentral:rRNA from 1 species
AUUGAACGCUGGCGGCAGGCCUAACACAUGCAAGUCGAGCGAGCGGCGGACGGGUGAGUAAUGUCUGGGAAACUGCCUGAUGGAGGGGGAUAACUACUGGAAACGGUAGCUAAUACCGCAUACCAUCAGAUGUGCCCAGAUGUGAUUAGCUAGUAGGUGGGGUAACGGCACACAUAGGCGACGAUCCCUAGCUGGUCUGAGAGGAUGACCAGCCACAAUGGAACGGAGACACGGUCCAGACUCCGACGGGAGGCAGCAGUGGGUAAUAUGGCACAAUGGGCGCAAUCUUGAGGCAGCCAUGCCGCGUGUGUGAAGAAGGCCUUCGGGUUGUAAAGCACUUUCAGCGGGUAGGCGUUACCCGCAGAAGAAGCACCGGCUAACUCCGUGCCAGCAGCCGCGGUAAUAC